rnacentral:rRNA from 1 species
AACGAACGCUGGCGGCAGGCCUAACACAUGCAAGUCGAGCGGACCUUUCGGGGUCAGCGGCGGACGGGUGAGUAACGCGUGGGAAUAUGCCCUUCUCUACGGAAUAGUCCUGGGAAACUGGGGGUAAUACCGUAUACGCCCUUUGGGGGAAAGAUUUAUCGGGGAAGGAUUAGCCCGCGUUGGAUUAGGUAGUUGGUGGGGUAAUGGCCUACCACGCCGACGAUCCAUAGCUGGUUUGAGAGGAUGAUCAGCCACACUGGGACUGAGACACGGCCCAGACUCCUACGGGAGGCAGCAGUGGGGAAUCUUAGAAAAUGGGGGCAACCCUGAUCGAGCCAUGCCGCGUGAGUGAUGAAGGCCUUAGGGUUGUAAAGCUCUUUCAGCUGGGAAGAUAAUGACGGUACCAGCAGAAGAAGCCCCGGCUAACUCCGUG